rnacentral:lncRNA from 1 species
AAUAAGAGAGAAGUUAAGAGCCCUCAAACAAAUUUAUGAAGAUGUAAGGGAGGGCUUCUGGAACUCGAGGUCUCCUCUUGAAUGUCUUGAAGACUUGAAGACUGAAGGAGACUCCUUUAAUGCUGGGAAGAGUUGGUUGAAUGGAGUUAAUGGCCCUCUUUCUUCUUUUCCUUUGAAAUCCUUUGGUAGAUGAAGAUUUCUUGUUUUCUUUGAAUGGAAUGUCGCUUCACUACUUUGCUACAGUUCUCUGUGGCUAUUUAAGCCAUUCCCCACGGAAACUAGCCGUUAGACACAAUCUUCUAGCCGU